CCAGACUCCUACGGGAGGCAGCAGUGGGGGAUAUUGCACAAUGGGGGGAACCCUGAUGCAGCGACGCCGCGUGGGUGAAGGAGCGUUUCGGCGCGUAAAGCCCUAUCGGCAGGGAAGAAGGAGGACGGUACCUGACUAAGAAGCCCCGGCUAACUACGUGCCAGCAGGCGCGGUAAUACGUAGGGGGCAAGCGUUAUCCGGAAUGACUGGGUGUAAAGGGAGCGUAGACGGUUGUACAAGUCUGAUGUGAAAGCCCACGGCUCAACUGUGGGAGUGCAUUGGAAACUGUAGAACUAGAGUACGGGAGAGGUAAGAGGAAUUCCUAGUGUAGCGGUGAAAUGCGUAGAUAUUAGGAGGAACACCAGUGGCGAAGGCGUCUUACUGGACCGAAACUGACGUUGAGGCUCGAAAGCGUGGGGAGCAAACAGGAUUAGAUACCCCCGUAUG
rnacentral:rRNA from 1 species